GCACCCUUAGCUCAGUUGGAUUAGAGCAUUUGACUACGAAUCAGAAGGUCGGGCGUUCAAGUCGCUCAGGGUGCA
rnacentral:tRNA from 1 species